rnacentral:rRNA from 1 species
GAUGAACGCUGGCGGCGUGCCUAAUACAUGCAAGUCGAGCGAACAGACGAGGAGCCUGCUCCUCUGACGUUAGCGGCGGACGGGUGAGUAACACGUGGAUAACCUACCUAUAAGACUGGGAUAACUUCGGGAAACCGGAGCUAAUACCGGAUAAUAUAUUGAACCGCAUGGUUCAAUAGUGAAAGACGGUUUUGCUGUCACUUAUAGAUGGAUCCGCGCCGCAUUAGCUAGUUGGUAAGGUAACGGCUUACCAAGGCAACGAUGCGUAGCCGACCUGAGAGGGUGAUCGGCCACACUGGAACUGAGACACGGUCCAGACUCCUACGGGAGGCAGCAGUAGGGAAUCUUCCGCAAUGGGCGAAAGCCUGACGGAGCAACGCCGCGUGAGUGAUGAAGGUCUUCGGAUCGUAAAACUCUGUUAUUAGGGAAGAACAAAUGUGUAAGUAACUAUGCACGUCUUGACGGUACCUAAUCAGAAAGCCGCGGCUAACUACGUG